GCGCGCGCAGGCGGUCUCUUAAGUCUGAUGUGAAAUCCCCCGGCUCAACCGGGGAGCUGCAUUGGAAACUGGGGAGACUUGAGUCCUGAAGAGGGGGGCAGAAUUCCACGUGUAGCGGUGAAAUGCGUAGAGAUGUGGAGGAACACCGGUGGCGAAGGCGGCUUUUUGGUCUGUAACUGACGCUGAGGCGCGAAAGCGUGGGGAGCAAACAGGAUUAGAUACCCUGGUAGUCCACGCCGUAAACGAUGACUGCUUGGUGGUUGAGGGUUUCCGCCCUGUAUUGCUGCGCCUAACGCAUUAAUCACUCCGCCGGGGGAGUACGGUCCCAGGACUGAAACUCAAUGGAUUUGACGGGGGCCCGCACAACCGGGGGAGCUGGGGGUUUAUUUCAUGCCACCCCGAAAAACCUUACCGGGCCUGGACUUCCUCGGACUUCUCUAAAAAUGAAUGGUGCCCCUU
rnacentral:rRNA from 1 species